GUGCCAGCCGCCGCGGUAAUACGUAGGGGGCAAGCGUUGUCCGGAUUCACUGGGCGUAAAGCGCGCGCAGGCGGUGAUGUAAGUCUGAGGUGAAAACCCGAAGCUCAACUUCGGGACUGCCUUGGAUACUGCGUCACUUGAGGAUAGGAGAGGCAAGGGGAAUUCCACGUGUAGCGGUGAAAUGCGUAGAGAUGUGGAGGAACACCUGUGGCGAAGGCGCCUUGCUGGCCUAUUUCUGACGCUGAGGCGCGAAAGCGUGGGGAGCAAACAGGAUUAGAUACCCUGGUAGUCCACGCUGUAAACGAUGAGUGCUAGGUGUAGGUGGGCUCAUACCCAUCUGUGCCGAAGCUAACGCAUUAAGCACUCCGCCUGGGGAGUACGGUCGCAAGACUGAAACUCAAAGGAAUUGACGGGGGCCCGCACAAGCAGUGGAGCAUGUGGUUUAAUUCGAAGCAAUGCGAAGAACCUUACCAGGACUUGACAUCCCAUAGACCAGUCUAGAGAUAGACUUUCCCUUCGGGGCUGUGGUGACAGGUGGUGCAUGGUUGUCGUCAGCUCGUGUCGUGAGAUGUUGGGUUAAGUCCCGCAACGAGCGCAACCCUUACUUUGUGUUGCCAGCAUUCAGUUGGGCACUCACAAGGGACUGCCGCCGAUAAGGCGGAGGAAGGUGGGGAUGACGUCAAAUCAUCAUGCCCCUUAUGUCCUGGGCUACACACGUGCUACAAUGGGCGGUACAACGGGAUGCGAAGCCGCGAGGUGGAGCCAAACCCUGAAAACCGUUCGUAGUUCGGAUGGUAGCUGCACUCGCUACAUGAAGCUGAUGCUAGUAUCGCGGAUCAACACGCCGCGGGUGAUCGGUUCCCG
rnacentral:rRNA from 1 species